CGAAACUCUGACCUGUCAGGAACACUCAAGAAGAAUAAAACGAUGAGGUUAACGUCUCAAAGACAGACCAAACCAGGUCUGCCGAAGAUGGAGGUGUGUAUGGAUUAUUACGGUCUCCCUCG